AUGGCGACGACAGGAGGGUCCCGAUCUGGGGUUUCGUGGGCGGCGUUCGCUCUGCUAGCGGUGGUGCUCGUGGGAUGCCUCGGUGGUGGCGUCUCGGUUGCCGAGAUCAGGCGACAGAAGAACGUGCAGGUGGCGCUCCGGGCCAAGUGGGCCGGCACGCCGCUGCUGCUCGAAGCCAGUGAACUGCUUUCAAAAGAACGGAAGGAUUAUUUUUGGGAUUUUAUUGGCCAUUGGAAGGAACUGGACAAAGGAUCUGAAUGUCUGACAGCUAAAUGUUGUGCCCAGAAGAUUGUUGAGGAUGUUCGCUCAUUUCUCAGCGAGCCACUGGCUUCAAUUUUUGAGUUUUCUCUUACACUUAGAUCAGCAUCGCCAAGAUUAGUGCUUUAUAGGCAGCUUGCAGAGGAAUCUUUAUCUUCAGUUCCUGUCAAAGAUGAUGCACUAGAGCAAAUUUCUGGCAGCGGUGCUGUGGAAGGAACUUGCUGCUGGGUAGAUACAGGAAACACUCUGUUUUUCAACUCAGAUGAUCUACAUAAAUGGCUCGAGGGAUCAGGCGAAGGAGCUACGGACUCCACUGGACAACCUGAACUAUUUGACUUUGACCAUGUAUAUCCUCGCUCAAAUAUUACUGCCCCAGUUGCUAUAUUUUAUGGCGCUGUUGGGACAAAAUGCUUCAAAGAGUUGCAUGUUCAUCUGGCAGAAGCAUCAAAGCAGGGAAAAGUCAGAUAUGCACUGCGCCCUGUUCUGCCAUCUGGAUGUCAGGCUACAUCUAGCUUUUGUGGUUCCAUUGGUGCUGCAGAUGCAGUCACUUUGAGUGGUUAUGGGGUGGAACUCGCCCUAAAAAACAUGGAAUACAAAGCCAUGGAUGACACUGCUAUAAAGAAGGGUGUUGCACUGGAAGAUCCUAAAACUGAGGACCUCAGUCAAGAAGUCAGAGGGUUCAUAUUUUCCAAGAUUUUGGAACGCAAGCCAGAGCUAAAUGCUGAGAUAAUGUCCUUCAGGGAUUAUCUAUUGUCAUCAACAGUAUCAGACACACUUGAAGUUUGGGAACUCAAAGAUUUGGGUCAUCAAACAGCACAGAGGAUUCUUCAUGCAUCAGAUCCUUUACAGUCAAUGCAGGAAAUCAAUCAAAAUUUCCCAAGUGUAGUUUCUUCACUAUCACGAAUGAAGGUUGACGAUUCAAUCAAAGAUGAAAUCAUAGCAAACCAGCGAAUGGUGCCACCUGGCAAGUCAUUAAUGGCUUUGAACGGUGCUUUGAUUAAUAUCGAGGAUCUUGAUCUCUACCUGUUAAUGGACAUGGUCCGUGAGGAAUUGUCUUUAGCUGAUCAGUUCAUCCGAUUAAAGUUGCCUCAAAGUGCUGCCCGCAAGAUCCUGUCAGCAGCGCCACCAGCAGAAUCUAAUUCAUUCCGCGUUGACUUCCGGUCUUCACAUGUUCACUACCUUAAUAACUUGGAGGAAGAUGCCUUGUAUAAAAGGUGGCGAAGCAACCUCAAUGAGCUAUUGAUGCCAGUGUACCCUGGUCAGAUGCGUUACAUCCGUAAAAAUUUGUUCCAUGCUGUGUAUGUGUUCGAUCCAGCUUCAGCCUGUGGUGCAGAGACCAUUGACACAAUCCUGUCUCUGCACCAAGAUAGUGUCCCUGUAAGGUUUGGUAUCAUAAUGUACUCUUCUAGACUCAUAAAUGUUAUUGAAGAAAAUGAUGGAUCCAAGAGCGAUGAAGACACUUCCACUUUGAUAAUGAGGCUUUUCUUGUACAUCAAGGAGACAUACUCGACACAAUUGGCAUUCCAAUUCCUAAGCGAUAUACAUAGAUUGAGGAAUGGUGGUGAUGACUAUAGUGAAGAGCCCGUAGAAGUUCAUCAUGUGGAGGAAGCAGUUGUUGACUCAUUAUUGUCAGGUGCAAAAUCUCACCCUCAGGAUGUGCUGCUAAAGUUGCAAAAGGAGAACUUGUACAAGCAAGAUGCUGAAGAAAAUUCUCGUUUUGUUCACAAACUGGGCUUGUAUAAGCUCCAGUGUUGUUUAUUGAUGAAUGGACUCGUUCAUGAUCCUAAUGAGGACGCGACCAUGAAUGCUAUGAACGAUGAGCUUCCUAGGAUACAAGAACAGGUCUAUUAUGGGCAUAUCCAGUCCCAUACAGAUGUUUUGGAGAAAUUUUUGUCGGAAAGUAGUUACAAGCGGUACAACCCAUCGAUUACUGGCAAGAGCACAGAGAAGAAGAGAUUUGUCUCGCUGUUUGCAUCGUAUCACCAGGAAGAUUCUGUACUUCAUGAUAUCAGCUACUUACAUUCCCAUGGAAGCGGAGAUGAUGUGAAGCCCGUAACUCAUCUACUUGCUGUUGAUCUUUCUUCGGUGACCGGGACCAAGUUGCUUCACGAAGCCAUACGUUAUCUGAUGGACGGGUCUAAUAGAGCUCGUGUUGGUCUACUACUUUAUGCCCGCAGUGAUAGUAUUUCCACUAUUUUACUUAUGAAGGAUAUCAUUGAUAGAACCAUUUCUUCUUUCAGUGGCAAGGAAAAGGUACUGGACUUCCUAUAUGGGCUCUGCAAAUAUUAUGAAGGUCAACAUAUGGUUGCUUCUUCUGCUGCUGGUGAUACGCUUAGUUCUAUUAAGGACAAGGUGUAUAGCUUAGCUGCUGAGACUGCCUUGCCUGUUGAUGAUUAUAAAGCAUGGCUUACAUGUUUUUCUGCUGAUACAAUUCUUGAAGGGAUUGAUAAGUUGUCAGACUUUUUAUUUGGGCAACUGGGGCUUGAAUUCGGUAGCAAUGCUGUGAUCACCAAUGGACGAAUUUUUGUUGUGGAUGAUGGUGACUCGUUUUUAAACGACGAUUUAGGUCUCCUUGAGUCUAUGGAGUAUGAGUUGCGAACAAAAUACAUACAUGAAAUAAUUGAGGAGGUUGAAUGGGGAGGAGUUGACCCUGAUUACCUGACAAGCAAAUUCUACAGCGAUAUUACCAUGUUGGUCUCAUCAUCAAUGUCUAUACGUGAAAGGCCAUCUGAAAGAGCCCAUUUUGAAAUUUUAAAUGCGGAAUACAGUGCAAUUAAGCUGAAUAGUAUGAAUUCAAGUGUUCACAUUGAUGCUGUCAUUGAUCCUCUAAGUCCUGCUGGGCAAAAACUUUCUCCACUUCUACGCAUUCUCUCUCGACAGAUUCAGCCGAGCAUGAGAAUUGUCCUUAAUCCAAUUAGUUCUCUUGCGGAUCUUCCUUUAAAGAACUAUUAUAGAUUUGUUCUUCCGUCGAUGGAUGAUUUUAGCAGUACAGAUUUUUCUGUACAUGGACCUAAAGCUUUCUUCUCAAACAUGCCGCUAUCUAAAACACUUACAAUGAACAUCGAUGUUCCUGAGCCCUGGCUUGUUGAGCCUGUCGUUGCCAUCCAUGAUCUGGAUAACAUUCUGUUGGAGAAUCUCGGUGAUGUUAGGACAUUGCAAGCAGUAUAUGAACUUGAAGCACUUCUUCUUACAGGUCAUUGCAUGGAAAAGGAUCGAGAACCUCCUCGUGGUCUGCAGUUUAUCCUUGGCACCAAACAAAGACCACACCUGGUAGACACACUUGUCAUGUCCAACUUGGGAUAUUGGCAGAUGAAAGUCUCCCCGGGGGUGUGGUACCUACAACUCGCUCCUGGGCGCAGUGCUGAUUUGUAUGAGUUACCUUCGAAACUCAUUGCCAUAGAUAGCCUGAGGGGCAAACUUUUACAUAUUGAAGUGCAAAAGAAAAAGGGCAAGGAGCAUGAGGACUUGCUAAAUGCUGAUGAUGACAACCAUGUCCAGGAAAAGACGGAUAAUAAAGGGUGGAAUACCAACCUUUUGAAAUGGGCUUCUAGUUUCAUUAGUGGGGAUGCCUCGUUAAAAAAGAAAGCUGAGAAAAACACUGUUAGUAUUUCUUCUGACCUUAAGGAUGCAAGACAAGGGGAGACAAUUAACAUUUUUUCUGUUGCUUCUGGUCAUCUGUACGAGCGUUUCCUAAAAAUUAUGAUCUUGAGUGUUUUAAAGAAAACACAAAGGCCAGUGAAAUUUUGGUUCAUAAAGAAUUAUCUAUCUCCACAAUUUAAGGAUGUCAUACCCCACAUGGCUCUGGAAUAUGGAUUCGAGUAUGAGCUUAUCACGUAUAAAUGGCCAACAUGGUUGCACAAACAGAAAGAGAAGCAACGAAUUAUAUGGGCAUAUAAAAUCUUGUUUCUGGAUGUUAUAUUUCCACUUUCGCUGAGGAAGGUUAUUUUUGUUGAUGCUGAUCAAAUUGUGAGAACAGACAUGGGAGAACUGUAUGACAUGGAUCUGAAGGGCCGUCCCCUUGCGUAUACACCAUUCUGUGAUAACAACAAGGAGAUGGAUGGCUACCGAUUUUGGAAACAAGGUUUCUGGAAAGAUCAUUUGCGAGGAAGACCAUACCAUAUCAGUGCCCUUUAUGUUGUUGAUUUGGCGAAAUUUCGACAAACUGCUGCUGGGGACAAUCUACGAGUUGUUUAUGAAACACUCAGCAAGGACCCCAAUAGUCUAUCAAACCUUGAUCAGGAUCUCCCAAAUUAUGCUCAACAUACUGUGCCCAUAUUCUCACUCCCACAAGAAUGGCUAUGGUGUGAAUCCUGGUGUGGAAAUGCCACAAAGGCAAGAGCAAAGACCAUUGAUCUUUGCAACAAUCCAAUGACAAAGGAACCAAAGCUUCAGGGUGCUAAGAGAAUAGUUCCAGAGUGGGUUGAUUUCGACGCUGAAGCUAGGCACUUCACCGCGCGCAUCUUGGGGGAGAAUGUGGAGGAGAUUGCAGAGGCCACUCCCCCAUCCUCUGAGUCUGAUGCACCAAAGCCUGAUCAUGAAGACUCAAGCCAGGACUCGAAAGACGAGCUAUGA
rnacentral:rRNA from 1 species